CUUCACCCUCUAAGCAAACCACCUCAACAGCCCCCACGCCUCUCCAUUUCCCUGCAGCCAGUAAUUAUACAAUGACCAAACUUCGAAUCUGAACCCAAACACAAAACAACCCUUCAUUUUCUCCCUCUAUAACCUUAACUAGUCAACCUGGUCUUGUCUCGAGACCGACCAGCAAGAGCCCAUGGCAGCGGCACUAGAGUGCUGGUCGAGCAGAGCCAGCACAGACGAGGACAUGGUAGAACAAGUCUUGAUGAGAACACAAGACAGAUCAGAAACCUCAUCAUCUUCAAUCACUACAACGGCAACAUCCUUACAAUUAUCUGAUAAAAUCUCAAAUCAUUCACUUAAAGACACCAUUUCCUCGUCAUCUGCAAUGCAAAAAAGGCUUCAAAGAUUGAGUCGAAAUGUGUCUGAAGCCAUUGCUUCACUUAAAAACUCAUUGAAUCUUGAUUCACCACGUGACUCACUAGUGCAGCUAACGAGCUCCCAACAGGGUAAUGCAAAUGGUAAUAAGAGCGAGAGAUGCAGAAAGGUUGUGUGGGCAAGUGUUGUAAGGAACCUCACUCAGCUGUAUCCGGGGAGCCAGUUGCCCGAGAAGCUUGUGUCCAAUAUCAGGAAGCACUAUGAUUCUUUGCCACUCAGUUAUGCUCAGGCAGGGUUUGAUAUGAAAGAAGUGUUUUUGCACAUUAAGUUGAUAGAGCAGACAUCAGUUGACGAGCAACCAGCAAUAAUGAUACAAGAAGUGUCUGAUGAUGAGGUACAGGGCUGUGUAUACAAACUCACAUUUGCUUGCAACUCGUCCAUUUCGUGGCCCGCAAUGUCUGGUGCAUUGGAUAGCGCUUCCAUUUGUUGCAAGAAGAUUCAGAUCUUUGAAAAGAAAGGGUUUACUCUUGGGGUUGUUCUUAUUUUAGUCCAAGUUGGACAAGAGAAAUCAUUUAGAGCUCGGAUAGAAAGCGCUUUAAAAUCUUCUGUAAAGAAGUCCAAAUCCACCACUGUGAAGCUUCCCUUCGGGCUUUGUGGGUGUCAAGAAGAGAAUACUAAAGGAAACUUUGGUGAAAUUGAAGAGGAUUCUUGUGAACAGAAUUGUAGGAAUGCCAUUGAGAUUUCAAAUGUGAAUAUUCAGCUUGAGAUGCCCUUACCCACUUCGUCGAUUGUUGUAUCCGUCGAUGAGUGGCAAACAGUUAAUUCUGGCAGGGAUGAGAUAGGAAAAUGGCUUUUGAACUCUGAUAAUCUUGAAUUCAUUGAUCAGAUUGGACCAAAUUCCUUUAAGGGAGUUCACAAGGGCAAAAGGGUGGGAAUUGAGAAGCUUAAAGGGUGUGAUAAAGGGAAUUCUUAUGAGUUCGAGCUCCGUAAAGAUCUUUUGGAACUGAUGACUUGCGGGCAUAAGAACAUUCUUCAAUUUUAUGGAAUUUGUGUUGAUGAAAAUCAUGGAUUGUGUGUGGUGACCAAAUUGAUGGAAGGUGGAUCUGUUAAUGAGCUAAUGCUAAAGAAUAAAAAACUUCAAACUAAGGAAAUAGUAAGAAUUGCUACAGAUGUAGCAGAAGGGAUAAAGUUUAUGAAUGAUCAUGGUGUUGCAUAUAGAGACCUUAACACGCAACGAAUUAUGUUGGACCGGCACGGGAAUGCUUGCUUAGGGGACAUGGGCAUAGUCACUGCUUGCAAGAGCAUGGGUGAGGCGAUGGAGUAUGAAACAGAUGGUUAUCGUUGGCUAGCUCCAGAGAUAAUUGCAGGUGAUCCAGAGAACAUAACCGAGACAUGGAUGAGUAAUGCAUAUAGUUUCGGGAUGGUGGUUUGGGAGAUGGUGACUGGCGAGUCUGCUUAUGCUGCAUAUUCACCUGUGCAGGCAGCAGUUGGUAUAGCUGCUUGUGGCCUAAGACCUGAGAUCCCUAAGGACUGCCCGCAACUCCUGAAAUUUCUGAUGAUCAAGUGCUGGAACAAUUCCCCAUCAAAGCGCCCUAAGUUCUCCGAAAUUCUAUCAAUUUUGUUGCGGCCUGGCAACAAUAUCAAUCGGUAAAAGUUCUUAAAGCCCGUGGUAUGCAGUCGGAUUAUUGCUGAAUCUUGUGCAAAAAAAAGUCCCAUAUCAAGUUAGUAGGAACAGGGUCCUAACAUGCAUAGUUGAAGAUUUUGGAAGUUGAUAUAGCAGAAACGAAGCGUGAGUGAUGGAAAUAUCAAGUAACUUUCCCUAUGUGCGCGUCAUGAAUUACCAUGCAUCGGCCAUUGAUUGCGAAAUGCGUUAGAUCGGAGAAAAGAUGGAAGAAAAAAAGGAAACCAAGAUCAUAUGUGGUCCUUUGGCCGUACAAAUUUUGAGUGAUACUAGGAAUUUUGAGUGUCC